rfam:Anaerocolumna xylanovorans DSM 12503 genome assembly, contig: EJ36DRAFT_scaffold00004.4
UAAUUUGAGAGUUUGAUCCUGGCUCAGGAUGAACGCUGGCGGCGUGCUUAACACAUGCAAGUCGAACGGAGUUAAGAGUGGAAGUUUUCGGAUGGAAGCUUUUAACUUAGUGGCGGACGGGUGAGUAACGCGUGGGUAACCUGCCUUACACAGGGGGAUAACAGUUGGAAACGACUGCUAAUACCGCAUA